GUAAUGUUAAAUAUCGUUGUUUUCCAAUGGUCUUAGGGGACUCCUGUGAAAAGGUCAUUCAAGCCCCAAGAGAUCACAUCCCAAAGGUUGAGAACCACUGUCAACUCCCAACUCACCCAGUCUGUGCUGAGCAUUCUGGCAGCUUCUAUACUGCAGAUUCACUGAAUGGCCUUCUAGACGUGGGAGGGAGCAGAACAGUAAAACAUGCUGUGUGUGUCCUAUAUGUAGAACUGCGGCUAACCCAACAGGAAGGAGUAUGGAAGGAAAGAAAAGUAAUAGAAUCCUGGGUCAGCUGUUCGGGACAAAAAUCUUGUUAUGUACCAGGCUGCUGUGUACUUAAUAUCCUCCUCCUCGAGCCUCCGCAAUUCUGGGACCAUGAAACCAUGAAAGUAUUUUUCUGGUUUUUGAGACAAGGUCUCACAGAUGGCAAGUGUCAAGGCUGGCCUUGAAUUUGUGGCAGUCCUACCACAGCCUUCCAAGAUUGGAUUACAGCCUGGAAUUAUCACUCAGCUUUAUGGAAAUAUUAAUAGAAAAUUAAUAAGACCCACUUAUGAGGAUUGAGUCAAGUUGUAUCAAACUGCUGCAUUAUCUGGCAAUGUCUUGGCCUGUACAUUUUUAUUUACUGGUGCUAAAGGCCUUCUGACUGAGGCCUUGUGUAUACAACAUAUGUGCUAUACUCAGAG
rnacentral:lncRNA from 1 species